AGUCGGCCUUACUUAGGGAUGUAAAGAAUGAAAGAAUCAAGUUGUAAUAAUUAAUUUAAAUCGGAUUGUAUUUGGAAGUUAAAUGUAAUAAGUAUUUGAGAUGUAAAAAUGUAUGAAUAUGAAUGAAUGUAAUAAUAUAGGAUGUGUUUAUGUUGUUUGAUACCUUCCAUUAUGCAAUCUUGAUUGAAAUGUGUUCCUGGUUGGAACUUCGCACAUUGUAUUGAUUGCUAUGCCUUGAACGUACAGGGGAGACUCUGUCCGCAGUACAGGGGAAACCCUGUCCGUUCGGCGAUCUGUUGCGAUGCCGCGACCCGGCCAAAUAGGCGGGCGGUCGCGGGGCGUGACAGUGGAGGAGCUCGGGUAGAGUGUUUCGUCGUCGAUGCCGUGUCGCGGAGCCGUUCGAGCGCGCGUUUGUUGCCGUUG
rnacentral:lncRNA from 1 species